rnacentral:tRNA from 3 species
UGGGGGUUUAGUUUAGUGGUAAAAUUUUGGUCUCCAACACCAAAGUCCAAGGUUCGAAUCCUUGCGCCCUCGUUGA